rnacentral:rRNA from 1 species
UGCUGCUUUGCUGACGAGUGGCGGACGGGUGAGUAAUGUCUGGGAAACUGCCUGAUGGAGGGGGAUAACUACUGGAAACGGUAGCUAAUACCGCAUAACGUCGCAAGACCAAAGAGGGGGACCUUCGGGCCUCUUGCCAUCAGAUGUGCCCAGAUGGGAUUAGCUUGUUGGUGAGGUAACGGCUCACCAAGCCGACGAUCAGUAGCCGGUCUGAGAGGAUGAACGGCCACACUGGAACUGAGACACGGUCCAGACUCCUACGGGAGGCAGCAGUGGGGAAUCUUCCGCAAUGGACGAAAGUCUGACGGAGCAACGCCGCGUGAACGAAGAAGGUCUUCGGAUUGUAAAGUUCUGUGAUCGGGACGAAAGGGUUUGUGGUGAAUAAUCAUAGACAUUGACGGUACCGAAAAAGCAAGCCACGGCUAACUACGUGCCAGCAGCCGCGGUAAUACGUAGGUGGCAAGCGUUGUCCGGAAUUAUUGGGCGUAAAGCGCGCGCAGGCGGUUUCUUAAGUCCAUCUUAAAAGCGUGGGGCUCAACCCCAUGAGGGGAUGGAAACUGGGAAGCUGGAGUAUCGGAGAGGAAAGUGGAAUUCCUAGUGUAGCGGUGAAAUGCGUAGAGA